UGAAUUAUCGCUGCAGGUUUCUUUUUUGGUCAGAUUGGUAAUGAGUAUUUGAAUAAUCCCUAUGCUAAACAUUUCUAUGGCGUCCAUAACUCACUGAGUUCGGUUUGCGUGAUUCUGCUAGGUGCAGAAUUUUUCAAUUUUCUUCUGAUUCUCUAUGUGGUGCUCGCUCUUUCAGACUACCAGCUUUUGGUUUUUGUAAUUGCUAUGUUGGAAAGGAUAAAGGAUGAGAGUGAUUGUCUGGAUCUUGAGCUAAUGUGACGAUGACUGUUACAUGGAUGAGCUUUUUGGUGUCUUUGCUCUGCCUUCUUCUCUCAUUCUCUGGGUUUACACCGUGUUUAUCCUAAGUGCUCCUUUUUUUUUUUCGAUUUCAUGUUAUUUUCUUAUAUUGCUUGAUGUAAUUUGAGUUUUUGGUUUAAUUUUGUUACAGGUUUUUUAUGCUAAUUGUUGCUGAUGAAUAUUUGCCCUAUCUAUCACUUAUAUUCUCUUGCUCGAUUCUUAUUUUUCUGAUCUGGCACAAGGGCUUCGAGGGUACAAUAAUCUUUGUGCUAAGCAUUUCUAAUCAAUUGCCUCCAUAGCGCAGUGAGGGCGGGUUGUGUGAUUCGGCAAGCUUUGGGACGACGGAGAGCCACAAGGUACAAGGGAGAAGCAUUUGGAAGAAAACUGCUCGCAGAUAUGGUUCUUUUACUGUAUAAGGCUCGCCUUUUUCCUCUAAGACCAUAUGCAGAGAAUUUGGCAUAACUACGUAGAUUUCAAGGUUUCCGUCUGUAAUAGUGUGAUUGUAUUCCUUAAAUCAGUAAAAAUUUGAUCCCUAAUCCUCUAUAUAACUUUAUUGGAUUGAUGUUUGGGUGUAUUUGAGAUUUCAACUUAAGUCUUUAAAUCCAUAUUGGUAUUUUGAUCUGCGUUCUAUGUGUUCUGCGAUAUCGCUUGUUGUAAUGUCCCUUAACUUGACACCCGAAUUAACAAACCAAUUCGCAAUUCAAUUCCACAAUUAACAAUAUAAGACAAAACUGUCUUUCGAAUUAAUCAUAACCGACUACCGAUUACAACUGGAAAUGGGAAAUAUAACAGCUAAUAAUGAGAAUGAAAGGAAAUAUAAGAAAAAUACUUGCUAAAUCUAUCACAUGAAUCAGUCCAAUACUUCAGCUAGCAAAUUCACAUCCGAAACAGUCAAUACCUGAAAUGAAAGUUGAACUGAAGCUAAUUACUUAUCCAGAAUUACGAGAGGAAGAAGAAUUGAAGAUGGAAGAAAGAUUUAGAAGAGAUUAGAGAAGAGAAGAGUAAAGGAAUUCAGAUUUAGGGAAGAUAAGAGAGAGAAGGAAAGGGGUAAACAUACCAUCCAUAUUCGAAUCCGCGACUUAAAUAGCACAAAAAAAAAAAGUUGAACCAAACUAGUACAAAAAAAAAAAAAAAAACAUAAGUAGUAUUCACGCACGAAAUUCAUGCGUGAAAGGACCAAACUGCAAAAACAUAGUUUUUGGCCUUUCACGCACGAAUUUUGUGCGUGAAUGGGGUCAUCCA